rnacentral:rRNA from 1 species
GAUGAACGCUGGCGGCGUGCCUAAUACAUGCAAGUCGAGCGAACGGACGAGAAGCUUGCUUCUCUGAUGUUAGCGGCGGACGGGUGAGUAACACGUGGAUAACCUACCUAUAAGACUGGGAUAACUUCGGGAAACCGGAGCUAAUACCGGAUAAUAUUUUGAACCGCAUGGUUCAAAAGUGAAAGACGGUCUUGCUGUCACUUAUAGAUGGAUCCGCGCUGCAUUAGCUAGUUGGUAAGGUAACGGCUUACCAAGGCAACGAUGCAUAGCCGACCUGAGAGGGUGAUCGGCCACACUGGAACUGAGACACGGUCCAGACUCCUACGGGAGGCAGCAGUAGGGAAUCUUCUGCAAUGGGCGAAAGCCUGACGGAGCAACGCCGCGUGAGUGAUGAAGGUCUUCGGAUCGUAAAACUCUGUUAUUAGGGAAGAACAUAUGUGUAAGUAACUGUGCACAUCUUGACGGUACCUAAUCAGAAAGCCACGGCUAACUACGUGCCAGCAGCCGCGGUAAUACGUAGGUGGCAAGCGUUAUCCGGAAUUAUUGGGCGUAAAGCGCGCGUAGGCGGCUUUUUAAGUCUGAUGUGAAAGCCCACGGCUCAACCGUGGAGGGUCAUUGGAAACUGGAAAACUUGAGUGCAGAAGAGGAAAGUGGAAUUCCAUGUGUAGCGGUGAAAUGCGCAGAGAUAUGGAGGAACACCAGUGGCGAAGGCGACUUUCUGGUCUGUAACUGACGCUGAUGUGCGAAAGCGUGGGGAUCAAACAGGAUUAGAUACCCUGGUAGUCCACGCCGUAAACGAUGAGUGCUAAGUGUUAGGGGGUUUCCGCCCCUUAGUGCUGCAGCUAACGCAUUAAGCACUCCGCCUGGGGAGUACGACCGCAAGGUUGAAACUCAAAGGAAUUGACGGGGACCCGCACAAGCGGUGGAGCAUGUGGUUUAAUUCGAAGCAACGCGAAGAACCUUACCAAAUCUUGACAUCCUUUGACAACUCUAGAGAUAGAGCCUUCCCCUUCGGGGGACAAAGUGACAGGUGGUGCAUGGUUGUCGUCAGCUCGUGUCGUGAGAUGUUGGGUUAAGUCCCGCAACGAGCGCAACCCUUAAGCUUAGUUGCCAUCAUUAAGUUGGGCACUCUAAGUUGACUGCCGGUGACAAACCGGAGGAAGGUGGGGAUGACGUCAAAUCAUCAUGCCCCUUAUGAUUUGGGCUACACACGUGCUACAAUGGACAAUACAAAGGGCAGCGAAACCGCGAGGUCAAGCAAAUCCCAUAAAGUUGUUCUCAGUUCGGAUUGUAGUCUGCAACUCGACUACAUGAAGCUGGAAUCGCUAGUAAUCGUAGAUCAGCAUGCUACGGUGAAUACGUUCCCGGGUCU